GGACUCUUAGCUCAGUUGGUUAGAGCGCUUCCUUGACAUGGAAGAGGUCAUAAGUUCGAGUCUUAUAGAGUCCA
rnacentral:tRNA from 1 species